rnacentral:rRNA from 1 species
GACGAACGCUGGCGGCGUGCUUAACACAUGCAAGUCGAACGGAAAGGCCCUGCUUUUGUGGGGUGCUCGAGUGGCGAACGGGUGAGUAACACGUGAGUAACCUGCCCUUGACUUUGGGAUAACUUUAGGAAACUGGGGCUAAUACCGGAUAGGAGCUCCUGCUGCAUGGUGGGGGUUGGAAAGUUUCGGCGGUUGGGGAUGGACUCGCGGCUUAUCAGCCUGUUGGUGGGGUAGUGGCUUACCAAGGUUUUGACGGGUAGCCGGCCUGAGAGGGUGACCGGCCACAUUAGGACUGAGAUACGGCCCAGACUCCUACGGGAGGCAGCAGUGGGGAAUAUUGCACAAUGGGCGGAAGCCUGAUGCAGCAACGCCGCGUGCGGGAUGACGGCCUUCGGGUUGUAAACCGCUUUCGCCUGUGACGAAGCGUGAGUGACGGUAAUGGGUAAAGAAGCACCGGCUAACUACGUG